AGAAUUUACGUGGUUCACUAUCGAUGUGAUAGCUACGUCCACGGGCACCGAGAUCGAAUGAUUUCACUAUAAACUGGCAAAGAUUACAAAGAUUACAAUGAAGAACUUAAUCACUCAAAGUAUUCUCUCUCUUGUGUUUCUCUCUCCGUUACCCUAAUAAUGAUAAUAGGAAGUUUAUAUAGUAGUGAUUCCUAAUUAAGAUAUACUUAGGUUACAAUAUCACAAUAUGAUAAAUAUUAAAUUCGUAAUCGCUGAAAAAAACCCAGAUCGCCCGGUCGGGCGAAGGCCCGCCCGAUCGGGCGCGAGAACACGUCUUUUCCAACAACCGAAGUACUCCAAAAAACCCCUUCCGCCCGGCCCGAUCGGGCAAUGUCCGCCCGAUCGGGCGAAGGCUCGCCCGGUCGGGCGAAAGCUCGCCCGGUCGGGCGCGCGAGAGCAGCUUCUUCAACGAAUUUGCCAGGCACCUCUUCUUCUUCCGCCCGGUCAGACCGGGUAAUGUCCGCCCGAUCGGGCGGACAAAGCAACGAAGUACGAGUCACCUAAUACUUAUCAACAGGGAGCUACCAAAAGAGUUGGGAAAUCUGAAUGGUCUUGUAGUUCUCAACCUCUCUCACAAUUCCUUCUUGGGUCAUAUCCCAUCAUCAUUCGGGAAUUUAAGCCAGAUUGAAUCGUUGGAUCUCUCUUCAAAUGCCUUGACUGGGAGGAUACCUACAGAGUUUGCGAACUUGAAUUUCCUCAGCUACUUGAACCUUUCCUUCAACAAGUUGUCAGGAAAGAUCCCAACAAGCACUCAGCUACAAUCCUUCAAUGCAUCUUCGUACGAAGGCAACCAAGGACUGUUCGGUUCACCAUUGACAACACAUGAUCCAAUAACAGUGACUCCGCCUACUUCUUCAGAGGGAUCAAAUUGGAGUUCAAAGAGUGAACGAGAGUGGAUGUUAAGGGGUGCUGAAGUUGGGUUUCCAGUUGGGAUCACCAUCUUUAUUGGGCCUAUCCUUUACAUCAAAAGGUAUAGGGAAUGGUACUGCAAGCAUCUUCACAUACUGAUCAUGAAAAUCCUACGAAAGGAAGAUAAUAUUACAAGGGCAAGGAGGAGGACAAGGAGGAACCAACAAAGGCAGAGACGCUAGAUGCAUAGAAAGGGUGAAAAAGAAGAAAACAAUGAAGGGUGCUGCUGUGUGCUACUGUGGAUGACAAACAUGUAAUGUGCCGAACUAAAGAAUUUACGCAUGUAUGGUGAUUGGUGAAAUAAUGAAUUAUACGAAGUAGUAAUUAGUAUAGUUUGUAAGACUUUAAGAAUUGUAUAAGUAUCAAGGUAUGACACUUUUUAUUAUCAGUUGUUGCGGCUUUUAAAUUGUGUUCCUACUGCUAUAUAUUCACCUUUAUAACUAAA